rnacentral:rRNA from 1 species
AGUGAACGCUGGCGGUAGGCCUAACACAUGCAAGUCGAACGGCAGCACAGUAAGAGCUUGCUCUUACGGGUGGCGAGUGGCGGACGGGUGAGGAAUACAUCGGAAUCUACUUUUUCUUGGGGGAUAACGUAGGGAAACUUACGCUAAUACCGCAUACGACCUACGGGUUAAAGCAGGGGAUCUUCGGACCUUUCGCGAUUGAAUGAGCCGAUGUCGGAUUAGCUAGUUGGCGGGGUAAAGGCCCACCAAGGCGACGAUCCGUAGCUGGUCUGAGAGGAUGAUCAGCAACACUGGAACUGAGACACGGUCAAGACUCCUACGGGAGGCAGCAGUGGGGAAUAUUGGACAAUGGGCGAAAGCCUGAUCCAGCCAUACCGCGUGGGUGAAGAAGGCCUUCGGGUUGUAAAGCCCUUUUGUUGGGAAAGAAAAGCAGCAGGUUAAUACCCCGAUGUUCUGACGGUACCCAAAGAAUAAGCACCGGCUAACUUCGUG